UACAGAGGGUGCGAGCGUUGUUCGGAAUUAUUGGGCGUAAAGAGCGCGUAGGCGGUUUGCUAAGUCUGAUGUGAAAGCCCUCGGCUUAACCGAGGAAGUGCAUUGGAUACUGGCAGGCUUGAGUGUGAGAGAGGAUAGUGGAAUACCUGGUGUAGCGGUGAAAUGCGUAGAUAUCAGGUGGAACACCGGUGGCGAAGGCGGCUAUCUGGAUCAUAACUGACGCUGAGGCGCGAAAGCAUGGGGAGCAAACAGG
rnacentral:rRNA from 1 species